ACUUAGGAAAGAUUCUUCGGAUGAUUUUCUAUUUGACUGAGCGGCGGACGGGUGAGUAACGCGUGGGUAACCUGCCUCAUACAGGGGGAUAACAGUUAGAAAUGACUGCUAAUACCGCAUAAGACCACAGCACCGCAUGGUGCAGGGGUAAAAACUCCGGUGGUAUGAGAUGGACCCGCGUCUGAUUAGUUAGUUGGUGGGGUAACGGCCCACCAUGGCGACGAUCAGUAGCCGGACUGAGAGGAAGGUCCCCCACAUUGGAACUGAGACACGGUCCAAACUCC
rnacentral:rRNA from 1 species